rnacentral:rRNA from 1 species
UACGUAGGGUGCAAGCGUUAAUCGGAAUUACUGGGCGUAAGGCGUGCGCAGGCGGUUUUGUAAGUCUGUCGUGAAAGCCCCGGGCUUAACCUGGGAAUGGCGAUGGUGACUGCAAGGCUAGAGUUUGGCAGAGGGGGGUAGAAUUCCACGUGUAGCAGUGAAAUGCGUAGAGAUGUGGAGGAACACCGAUGGCGAAGGCAGCCCCCUGGGUCAAGACUGACGCUCAUGCACGAAAGCGUGGGGAGCAAACAGG